UAGGGAAUUUUCCACAAUGGCACGAAAGUCUGAUGGAGCAACGCCGCGUGAACGAUGAAGGUCUUCGGAUUGUAAAGUUCUGUUGUUAGGGACGAACAAGUACCGUUCGAAUAGGGCGGUACCUUGACGGUACCUGACGAGCAAAGCCACGGCUAACUACGUG
rnacentral:rRNA from 1 species